GACAGAGGUGCCAAGCGUUAGGCGGAAUCACUGGGCUUAAAGCGUGUGUAGGCGGAUUGGUAAGUACCUUGUGAAAUCCCACGGCUUAACCGUGGAACUGCUUGGUAUACUGCUUAUCUUGGGCCACUUAGGGGCUACCGGAACAAACGGUGGAGCGGUGAAAUGCGUAGAUAUCGUAAGGAAGACCAGUGGCGAAGGCGGGUCUCUGGACAGUUCCUGACGCUGAGGCACGAAGGUCAGGGGAGCAAACGGG
rnacentral:rRNA from 1 species